rnacentral:rRNA from 1 species
UGGGGAAUAUUGCACAAUGGGCGCAAGCCUGAUGCAGCAACGCCGCGUGAACGAUGAAGGUCUUCGGAUCGUAAAGUUCUGUUGCAGGGGAAGAUAUUGACGGUACCCUGUGAGGAAGCCCCGGCUAACUACGUGCCAGCAGCCGCGGUAAUACGUAGGGGGCUAGCGUUAUCCGGAUUUACUGGGCGUAAAGGGUGCGUAGGUGGUCUUUCAAGUCGGUGGUUAAAGGCUACGGCUCAACCGUAGUUAGCCUCCGAAACUGGAAGACUUGAGUGCAGGAGAGGAAAGUGGAAUUCCCAGUGUAGCGGUGAAAUGCGUAGAUAUUGGGAGGAACACCAGUAGCGAAGGCGGCUUUCUGGACUGCAACUGACACUGAGGCACGAAAGCGUGGGUAGCAAACAGG